rnacentral:lncRNA from 1 species
UUUUUGAAUAAUUCUAGGUCCAUGAGGGUGCAUUUGGUUCUGUUGGUGAUGAUCAGUCACUUCGUAAUUACUUGGAAUCUCUGGGACAACAUCAGUAACAAGCAUGUCUGUAGUUGGUCAUCAAAGAGAGAGAGGUAGGGCAUUAAAGCAUCAAUUCAAGCUUGGUGAGCAGCUUGGUAAGCUUCUGUUUCUUCCUAGUCAGCCUUAG